rnacentral:rRNA from 1 species
CGCGUGCGGGAUGAAGGCCUUCGGGUUGUAAACCGCUUUCAGCAGGGACGAGGCGAAAGUGACGGUACCUGCAGAAGAAGCCCCGGCUAACUACGUGCCAGCAGCCGCGGUAAUACGUAGGGGGCAAGCGUUAUCCGGAUUCAUUGGGCGUAAAGCGCGCGUAGGCUGCCCAGUAGGUCGAGGGUUAAAUCCGGGGGCUCAACCCCCGUCCGCUCCCGAUACCGCUGGGAUUCGAGUCUGGUAGGGGAAGGUGGAAUUCCCAGUGUAGCGGUGGAAUGCGCAGAUAUUGGGAAGAACACCGGUGGCGAAGGCGGCCUUCUGGGCCAUGACUGACGCUGAGGCGCGAAAAGCUAGGGGAGCGAACAGGAUUAGAUACCCUGGUAGUCCUAUCCGUAAACGAUGGGCACUAGGUGUGGGGAGGCUUUACUUUCCGUGCCGACCGCUAACGCAUUAAGUGCCCCGCCUGGGGAGUACGGCC